GACAGAGGGGGCAAGCGUUGCUCGGAAUUACUGGGCGUAAAGCGCGCGCAGGCGGUCUUCCAAGUCAGUGGUGAAAGCCUGGAGCUCAACUCCAGAACUGCCAUUGAAACUGUUAGACUUGAGUACGAGAGAGGUGAGUGGAAUUCCCAGUGUAGAGGUGAAAUUCGUAGAUAUUGGGAAGAACACCAGUGGCGAAGGCGGCUCACUGGCUCGUAACUGACGCUCAGGCGCGACAGCGUGGGGAUCAAACAGG
rnacentral:rRNA from 1 species